rnacentral:rRNA from 1 species
UGGGGAAUAUUGCACAAUGGGGGGAACCCGUGAUGCAGCGACGCCGCGUGAAGGAAGAAGUAUUUCGGUAUGUAAACUUCUAUCAGCAGGGAAGAAAAUGACGGUACCUGACUAAGAAGCCCCGGCUAACUACGUGCC